AUGGUACUCCCUCCGUCCCAAAUUUUUUGUCUUAAAUUUGUCUAAAUACGGAUGUAUCAAGUCGCGUUUUAGUAUUAGGUACAUCCGUAUCUAAACAAAUAUAAGACAAGAAUUUUGAGAUGGAGGGAGUAUUAG
rfam:Triticum aestivum genome assembly, contig: Triticum_aestivum_CS42_TGACv1_scaffold_160292_2DL